ensembl:lncRNA
CUUGAAAAACAACAGACUUGGCCAGAUCUGGGAGUGCAAAGAAACUUUUUCCUCCAGUACCUUCCUCUUGAGCCUUAGCUGUGGGCCAAAGGUCAGCCAGUGAUUGCCUGAGGAAGAGAGGAGUUCUGUUUCCAGGGCUGCUCCGAGUUUCACAACAGGGUCCACAAGCAUAACUAUCAUUUGAGUACAAACCUGAAUUUUCAAGUGGAGCCUUUGGGAAGUGAUUAGGAUCAAAUGGGAUCAUGAGAGUGGAGCACCAGGAUUGGAUCCCAUGGCUUUGUCAGGUCAGUGAGGUGACCACCGCAGAGAAGAUCAUUGGCCUGUUAAAGCAGCUGUUAUAAAUAUUUUCUGGCCCAGCUACUUUGCAACGCCUCUGGGCAAUGUCAACAUGAAGAGCCUUCUCUAUACCAAGCCCAUGGGCUGCUCCUGCAGCUGGAGUGGCACCUACAAAGGUCCUGCUCCUGCUACCACUGCUGCCCCAGGUGAGGAGAAGAAAAUGCAAGCAAUGAAAGUGGAAUCUGUGGAGUCUGAUGAUGACACGG